rnacentral:rRNA from 1 species
AUUGAACGCUGGCGGCAUGCCUUACACAUGCAAGUCGAACGGUAACAGGUCUUCGGAUGCUGACGAGUGGCGAACGGGUGAGUAAUACAUCGGAACGUGCCUAGUAGUGGGGGAUAACUACUCGAAAGAGUGGCUAAUACCGCAUGAGAUCUACGGAUGAAAGCAGGGGAUCGCAAGACCUUGUGCUACUAGAGCGGCCGAUGGCAGAUUAGGUAGUUGGUGGGAUAAAAGCUUACCAAGCCGACGAUCUGUAGCUGGUCUGAGAGGACGAUCGGCCACACUGGGACUGCGAGACGGACCGGACUCCUACGGGAGGCAGCAGUGGGGAAUUUUGGACAAUGCGCGCAAGCCUGAUCCAGCAAUGACGCGUGCAUGAUGAAGGCGUUCGGGUUGUAAACUGCUUUUGUACGGAACGAAAAGCCCUGGGUUAAUACCCUGGGGUGAUGACGGUACCGUAAGAAUAAGCACCGGCUAACUACGUGCCAGCCGCCGCAGUAACAC